AUGGAUGGCGAGCACGAACUCACCUUGACAUUUUCAACAAUUUCGGUAAACAUUAUUCUUUUGUUAAUUAUGAACGUUUGCGAGUAUAUAAGUUUCUUUUAGUUUAUUUCGAUGUUGCAUACAAAUAAUUGUAAAACAACGGUAUAACAUAAUUAACUAUUUAACGAUUAUAAAAUAAAUAAUAUUAAUAUUGUUGUAUCAUCGAAGAACAACUAAUGGAAAUUAACAAUUUGUCAGGCAUAUUAUUUAAAUAAUACCCAGAAUUACCAGGAGAGAUUUCAUUCCUAUACAGUAACAUUUUGGCGUUCUUGUUUUGAGGUUAAGUACAAAGGAGAUAUACGGAGGCAAAUAAUUCUCAUGGCCUGAGUUGCUCACAAUGACACCGUUUCGCCUCGCACAAUCGCACGGUUUUUUCAGCACAGCAAAGAAUCCUGUAGUCGUUUGUUAGACUUAGCGUUAACCACGGAUCUCUGAAUAAAUUGGUGGAAUACGCUGUACCCAUGGAAAAGAAUUUUUAAACAAAGGAUUUCCUCUCUCAUAAUAUCAUCAAAAGAGGAGCAUCGUUAAAUUCUAUUUUAUUUCUUUUUCCUUCUUGUUUUUUAAACGCCCUGAACGUGCAAUAUUUUUCACGGGGAUUUAUGAAGUCUAAAAUACGUUUAGGAAGACUGACAGUAUAAAUUCGUUGUAAAUUGCCAUCGAGAUGAAUCGACUCUCGUUGAACUCUGACGGUGUUCUUCUCACCACGAUGCACAGCCUGAUUCCCCAUAUAAGAAAUAUAACCUCAACUGGAA